UCCCUGGAGGACUAGUGGUUAGGCCUCAGCGCUCUCACCAGCAUGGCAUGGGUUUGAUUCCCGGCCAGGGAA